rnacentral:lncRNA from 13 species
AUUCUCUCAGAGGACCUGAGGACCUACCCUGGGGGUCAGACAUGUUCUAAAAAGGUCAAACUCUCCUGAAAACUGAAUCGAGUUAUAUACUGUAGAACAAGAGGACAUUACUAGUCAGGUUAGAUGUAGAGGACAUUACUAGUCAGGUUAGAUGUAGAGUUAUAUACUGUAGAACUAGAGGACAUUACUAGUCAGGUUAGAUGUAGAGUUAUAUACUGUAGAACUAGAGGACAUUACUAGUCAGGUUAGAUGUAGANNNNNNNNNNACCAUGAGGUCUGUGAUUAACAGUUGACCCAUCAGUAUUAUAGUAAUAAACCAUGAGGUCUGUGAUUAACAGUUGACUCAUCAGUAUUAUAGUAAUAAACCAUGAGGUCUGUGAUUAACAGUUGACCCAUCAGUAUUAUAGUAAUAAACCAUGAGGUCUGUGAUUAACAGUUGACCCAUCAGUAUUAUAGUAAUAAACCAUGAGGUCUGUGAUUAACAGUUGACCCAUCAGUAUUAUAGUGAUAAACCACGAGGUCUGUGAUUAACAGUUGACUCAUCAGUAUUAUAGUAAUAAACCAUGAGGUCUGUGAUUAACAGUUGACCCAUCAGUAUUAUAGUAAUAAACCAUGAGGUCUGUGAUUAACAGUUGACUCAUCAGUAUUAUAGUAAUAAACCAUGAGGUCUGUGAUUAACAGUUGACCCAUCAGUAUUAUAGUAAUAAACCAUGAGGUCUGUGAUUAACAGUUGACCCAUCAGUAUUAUAGUAAUAAACCACGAGGUCUGUGAUUAACAGUUGACCCAUCAGUAUUAUAGUAAUAAACCACGAGGUCUGUGAUUAACAGUUGACUCAUCAGUAUUUUAGUAAUAAUCAUAAU